rnacentral:rRNA from 1 species
GAUGGACGCUAGCGGCAGGCCUAACACAUGCAAGUCGAGGGGUAGAGUUCUUCGGGACUUGAGACCGGCGCACGGGUGCGUAACGCGUAUGCAAUCUACCUUAUACAGGGGAAUAGCCCAGAGAAAUUUGGAUUAAUGCCCCAUAGUGUUAUCGAAUCGCAUGGUUUGAUAACUAAAGUUCCAACGGUAUAAGAUGAGCAUGCGUCCCAUUAGUUAGUUGGUAAGGUAACGGCUUACCAAGACAAUGAUGGGUAGGGGUCCUGAGAGGGAGAUCCCCCACACUGGUACUGAGACACGGACCAGACUCCUACGGGAGGCAGCAGUGAGGAAUAUUGGUCAAUGGGCGCAAGCCUGAACCAGCCAUGCCGCGUGCAGGAAGACGGUCCUAUGGAUU